rnacentral:rRNA from 1 species
AUUGAACGCUGGCGGCAGGCCUAACACAUGCAAGUCGAGCGGAGCGGCGGACGGGUGAGUAAGGCCUAGGAAUCAGCCUGGUAGUGGGGGAUAACGUCCGGCAGCGGGCGCUAAUACCGCAUACUAUCAGACGAGCCUAGGUAGGAUUAGCUAGUUGGUGGGGUAAAGGCCUACCAAGGCGACGAUCCGUAACUGGUCUGAGAGGAUGAUCAGUCACACUGGAACUGAGACACGGUCCAGACUCCUACGGGAGGCAGCAGUGGGGAAUAUUGGACAAUGGGCGAAAGCCUGAUCCAGCCAUGCCGCGUGUGUGAAGAAGGUCUUCGGAUUGUAAAGCACUUUAAGUUGGGAGGCGUUACCAACAGAAUAAGCACCGGCUAACUCCGUGCCAGCAGCCGCGGUAAUUC